GGCGGUUCUCCCACCAAAGCAGACAAGCUAGAUAUAGUAGGCUUCUUGCAGAGACUGAAGGAGACUUUGCAUCAUUCUGUGAACACAGACUCAUCAGAAUAAGAGGUGUCAGGAACAUUGUGUGAUGUGCACCUAUGUUUUGUCAAUAUUCCAUUCUUUCAAAGCCUUAUUGUAUGAGAUGUGCAGUUUUAGUGUUUACUUAGUAUUUCUGUAAUUUUUGAGUCUCUUUUACUGU